UACACACAAAAAACACACUUAAGAUAUCACAUUGAACGUAAUAUUUGUAUUGAUUCCAGAAAUAGAAAUAGCAUUCCAAGGUCCAAGUUUGCGCAGAAAAAUCUCCAUAAAUGUUCCAUUUGUGGCUACCAUACACCCUUUAUAUCAUGCUUGAAACGACACCAGGAAAUUCACUUGGCCCCAGAUGAACGACAGUUGUUUGCUUGUGCACACUGUGAUAAGAAAUAUACAGAAAAACGAAAAUUAAAAUUCCACCUUGACGCUAAGCAUAUUGAUUCCAGGUCCGAGGAUGCGCAGAAAAAUCUCAAUAAAUGUUCCAUUUGUAGCUACCAAACAUCCUAUAUAUCACACUUGCGACGACACCAGGAAAUUCACUUGGCCCCAGAUGAACGAAAGUUGUUUGCUUGUGCAUACUGUGAUAAGAAAUAUACAGAAAAACGAAAAUUAAAAUUCCACCUUGACGCUAAGCAUAUUGAUUCCAGGUCCAAGGAUGCGCAGAAAAAUUUCCAUAAAUGUUCCAUUUGUAGCUACCUCAAAACACCCUAU